rnacentral:lncRNA from 1 species
AGGGUGGUUGGGAGCUUCUCUUGAGGUUAGUUGCUUACUAAUUCCCUUUUGAUCAUGAUUUCCACGAUUUUUGUAUACAAACCCUAGAAAUGGGUAUUUAGGGUUUGUUUUGGGGAUUUUUGAUUAGAGGCUUUUGUAGCCUAAUUGAUCUUAUUAGAACCUUUGUCUAGGUUGCAUUGGAAGGAAUUUAGCUCUCUUUUGGAGCUUGAGAGGGAUUUCCACCACCAUAGGUGAGUUUUGGCCCUUUCAUUGAGUUGGUUAAUGUUUAACGUAUUCGUUGUUCGUGAUGCUCGUGUAUCUCUUCGCUCCUUACUUUUAGGGUACUUAGAGACUCGUGGACAACUCCGUUCGGCGAAUCGAAGGAUUCCGAGACGGUUCGGUGGGUUUGGCCUCACCAAAUGAAACAAAAUUCUCUUAUGAUGGUUUUAUUUAUCGUAAAAUGAAAAUGCAUGCAUAUUCAUGCUAGAUAGAUUAAUUGUGAAUUUUAGAAUGCUUAAAAAUACGCACGUUAUGUAUAAUGCAUUUUCGAACCUCUAUGUAGUAGAGAGCUUGCAUGUGAGACUUGUGCAUGGGUUUAGCAUUCUAAUUGGGACUUGGAAUCAUACUUCUUGUAGUAGUCAUGACAAAUAUAAUGUGCCUUGGACAUAAACCUCAUUGGGACAUAGGAGAAUAUUUUGGGCCAUAAAGUGGCUUUAGAUUUGAAUAUCUUGUGAGGUAGGAAGCUAAUGUUGUAAUGCGACGUCGGGCUCAAACUAUAAGUGAGCCUAGCAAGUAAUGCCAUAGAGAGGCAUUAGACUCGAGCGAUAUAUAAAUUGCAUGUGCAUGUUAAUAUUAUGAAAAUUAUGUUAAGUUGGUUGUUACAUCGAAAUCAUAUGCUAGUGGAUAGAUGCAUGUUUAUACUUAUACGCAUUGUGGGAUACAGGCUAGGCACAUAUUAGCAAUGUGAGAUCAUGCUUGAGAGCACCGUGCAUUAACCUAGAACGGGUAUAUUAAGCUAAUGUCAUAAAGAGGCAUUAGGCUUAGGUUUGGUGUAGUAAGCUAAUGUCAUAAAGAGGCAUUAGGCUUAGGUUUGGUGUAGUAAGCUAAUGUCAUAAAGAGGCAUUAGGCUUGGGAUACGUAUGGACUUAGUCAGGCUAAGGUCACAUGAGACAUUGAAUUAUUGAACGGUUAAACCUUCACUUGAGGCAUAGACUAGACACUGGGCUUGCUAGUGUGCAUUUCCAUGUUAGAGACAUGAUGACUGUUGAGUUGCAUUUCCAUGUUGGAGACAUGACGAUUGGACUAUUGAGGUUUUGACCAUGCUUGCUUGCCAUUUGUGCUCAUUCGCACAUGCUUGUGAGGGUCGCUCCCCACAAGCCGGCACUCCGGAGUUAGCCUACGCGACAUAUGCUCGCUCGUGCGGUAUUGAGAAGCCUACGGGGUCGAGUGGGACAGACACAUUCCAAGAGUAGGAAUGUUGGGCUACCACAGGCACUUAGGCGGCACAAGCCGGACUACACCCGUGUAGAUCCUGAAUGAGAUUGAACCAGAAUACUAAACAACAGGUUGACAAUCACUACUAGAUAGGUUAUAGUAGUUGGAUUUUCUUGACAUGCUAUGGCAUAGGGUUGGACUUUUGGGACAUUUAGUGUACUUGACAUUAUCGCUUAUUGCAUUGUAGUACACCUUGCUGCCAUGAUAGUACAUACUAG